AAAACUACCAAAAAAUAAGCACAUAUUUAUUCGGUAAAUAUGUGCUUAUUUUUUGGUAGUUUUU
rfam:Octopus bimaculoides Scaffold2076_contig_6, whole genome shotgun sequence.